rnacentral:ncRNA from 1 species
UUGCAGCUGAUGAUAAGGAAAAGUACCUUUAAAAGGCAGCCUAAAGCGAGCCGGUGGCGGUGAAAGUCCGGCGGCGGGCAUUAAAGGGAAUGGGCCUUGGAGGCGCACUGCGAGCCGCAAGGGGUAGCAGCGCCGGGAAUGCUUUGCCCGUUACCAUAAAAGCGGAUAUCGGCAUCGGCCCGUAUCUUUUAAGCGGACUUAUUUAAGUCAAGCAGGGUGGCACCGCGAAAGUUUACAGCCUUUCGUCCCUACA